rnacentral:rRNA from 1 species
CCUACGGGUGGCAGCAGUGGGGAAUAUUGCACAAUGGGGGAAACCCUGAUGCAGCAACGCCGCGUGAGCGAUGAAGGCCUUCGGGUCGUAAAGCUCUGUCCUAAGGGAAGAAUACUGACGGUACCUUAGGAGGAAGCCCCGGCUAACUACGUGCCAGCAGCCGCGGUAAUACGUAGGGGGCUAGCGUUAUCCGGAAUUACUGGGCGUAAAGGGUGCGUAGGCGGCCCUUCAAGUCAGAGGUGAAAGGCUACGGCUCAACCGUAGUAAGCCUAUGAAACUGUAGGGCUUGAGUGCAGGAGAGGAGUGUGGAAUUCCAAGUGGAGCGGUGAAAUGCGUAGAGAUUGGGGGGAACACCAGUUACGAAGGCGGCUCUCGGGACUGUAACUGACGCUGAGGCACGAAAGCGUGGGGAGCAAGCAGGAUUAGAUACCCCAGUAGUC